rnacentral:misc_RNA from 1 species
UUUCCGUAGGUGAACCUGCGGAAGGAUCAUUACAGAGAACAUCGCCCUUACGGGUGACUCUCCAACCCUAUGUUAUUAUACCUUUGUUGCUUUGGCGAGCCGCCUCGGCCACCGGCCUACGCUGGUGAGUGCUUGCCAGAGAACCCCAAACUCUGAGUUUAAAUAUCGUCUGAGUACUAUAUAAUAGUUAAAACUUUCAACAACGGAUCUCUUGGUUCUG